CAAUAGCUAAACAAUAGACUGCUCAAACAACGCACCUGUGCCUGGUUCAAAUAUAAGAACCGUGUCCUGACUCCUUUCCCAGUAAUUAUUGGCACCAAUGUGCUAGCUGGAUAGGGUACUAGUCCA